rnacentral:rRNA from 1 species
AUGAGCCAUGCCGCGUGUAUGAAGAAGGCCUUCGGGUUGUAAAGUACUUUCAGCAGUGAGGAAGGGGGUAUCGUUAAUAGCGGUAUCCUUUGACGUUAGCUGCAGAAGAAGCACCGGCUAACUCCGUGCCAGCAGCCGCGGUAAUACGGAGGGUGCGAGCGUUAAUCGGAAUUACUGGGCGUAAAGCGCAUGCAGGUGGUUUGUUAAGUCAGAUGUGAAAGCCCGGGGCUCAACCUCGGAAUUGCAUUUGAAACUGGCAGGCUAGAGUACUGUAGAGGGGGGUAGAAUUUCAGGUGUAGCGGUGAAAUGCGUAGAGAUCUGAAGGAAUACCGGUGGCGAAGGCGGCCCCCUGGACAGAUACUGACACUCAGAUGCGAAAGCGUGGGGAGCAAACAGGAUUAGAUACCCUGGUAGUCCACGCCGUAAACGAUGUCUACUUGGAGGUUGUGGCCUUGAGCCGUGGCUUUCGGAGCUAACGCGUUAAGUAGACCGCCUGGGGAGUACGGUCGCAAGAUUAAAACUCAAAUGAAUUGACGGGGGCCCGCACAAGCGGUGGAGCAUGUGGUUUAAUUCGAUGCAACGCGAAGAACCUUACCUACUCUUGACAUCCAGAGAACUUAGCAGAGAUGCUUUGGUGCCUUCGGGAACUCUGAGACAGGUGCUGCAUGGCUGUCGUCAGCUCGUGUUGUGAAAUGUUGGGUUAAGUCCCGCAACGAGCGCAACCCUUAUCCUUGUUUGCCAGCGAGUAAUGUCGGGAACUCCAGGGAGACUGCCGGUGAUAAACCGGAGGAAGGUGGGGACGACGUCAAGUCAUCAUGGCCCUUACGAGUAGGGCUACACACGUGCUACAAUGGCGCAUACAGAGGGCGGCCAACUUGCGAAAGUGAGCGAAUCCCAAAAAGUGCGUCGUAGUCCGGAUUGGAGUCUGCAACUCGACUCCAUGAAGUCGGAAUCGCUAGUAAUCGUGGAUCAGAAUGCCACGGUGAAUACGUUCCCGGGCCUUGUACACACCGCCCGUCACACCAUGGGAGUGGGCUGCAAAAGAAGCAGGUAGUUUAACCUUCGGGAGGACGCUUGCCACUUUGUGGUCAUGACU